UGGGGAAUAUUGCACAAUGGGGGAAACCCUGAUGCAGCGACGCCGCGUGAGCGAAGAAGGUUUUCGAAUCGUAAAGCUCUGUCCUAUGAGAAGAUAAUGACGGUAUCAUAGGAGGAAGCCCCGGCUAAAUACGUGCCAGCAGCCGCGGUAAUACGUAGGGUGCGAGCGUUGUCCGGAAUUACUGGGCGUAAAGAGCUCGUAGGCGGUUUGUCACGUCGUCUGUGAAAUCCUAGGGCUUAACCCUGGACGUGCAGGCGAUACGGGCUGACUUGAGUACUACAGGGGAGACUGGAAUUUCUGGUGUAGCGGUGGAAUGCACAGAUAUCAGGAAGAACACCGAUGGCGAAGGCAGGUCUCUGGGUAGUAACUGACGCUGAGGAGCGAAAGCAUGGGGAGCGAACAGG
rnacentral:rRNA from 1 species